UACAGAGGUCCCAAGCGUUGUUCGGAUUCAUUGGGCGUAAAGGGUGCGUAGGCGGCGCGGUAAGUCGGGUGUGAAAUCUCGGAGCUUAACUCCGAAACUGCAUUCGAUACUGCCGUGCUUGAGGACUGGAGAGGAGACUGGAAUUCCUGGUGUAGCGGUGGAAUGCGCAGAUAUCAGGAGGAACACCGGUGGCGAAGGCAGCUCGCUGGGACGGUACUGACGCUGAGACGCGAAAGCGUGGGGAGCAAACAGG
rnacentral:rRNA from 1 species